UACAGAGGUCUCAAGCGUUGUUCGGAUUCAUUGGGCGUAAAGGGUGUGUAGGUGGCGCGCUAAGUCGGGUGUGAAAUUUCGGACGCUUAACUCCGAAACUGCAUUCGAUACUGGCGUGCUUGAGGACUGGAGAGGAGACUGGAAUUCAUGGUGUAGCAGUGAAAUGCGUAGAGAUCGUAAGGAAGACCAGUGGCGAAGGCGGGUCUCUGGACAGUUCCUGACACUGAGGCACGAAGGCCAGGGGAGCAAACCGGG
rnacentral:rRNA from 1 species